AUACUUUACCUGGUGUCGGGCCCCCCGGCGAUCACUGAGGCCGGGGUCCCGUGCCGAGGGCCUGCCAUUGCAUUGCGGUUGGCUGAAGCACGCCACUAUCCCAAAUCGGGAUACGUGGGGCAUGUAAUUUUUGGUAGUGGGGCUCGGCGUACGCGCCAGCCCCUG